rnacentral:rRNA from 1 species
UACGGAGGGUGCAAACGUUGCUCGGAAUCAUUGGGCGUAAAGCGCACGUAGGCGGACCGCUAAGUCGGAUGUGAAAGCCCUCGGCUUAACCGAGGAAGUGCAUUCGAAACUGACGGUCUUGAGUACGGAAGAGGCGAGUGGAAUUCCUGGUGUAGCGGUGAAAUGCGCAGAUAUCAGGAGGAACACCAAUUGCGAAGGCAGCUCGCUGGGACGUUACUGACGCUGAGACGCGAAAGCGUGGGGAGCAAACAGG